UUUACAAUGGAGUUUGAUUUAUCAUUUUGAAUUAUUUUCCUAUAUGAUUGUGAAUUAAGAAGCCGAUGAAGAUGCCUGUGAAUACACAUCAAUGUUUUGUGUCUUCGUGCAGGAACAGUAUUACUGUUAAUCCUGAUGUGACAACAUUCAGAUUUCCAUGAAGCCGAAGCAAGUUAUUGAAGUGGAUUGCUGCAAUUGGCUAUGACCUUGAUGCCAGUAAUGCUGAAACAUUUAAAACUAAAUAUGUAUGUUCCGAACAUUUUGAUAUUGGAGCUUUCACUACAUGUGACUGCAUCAAAUUGAAUCGUGGUGCUGCUACAACAUAUUUUAAUUCUGUGGACAGUGAAGUAUGGAUCUAUUGUUAUAAUUUAUUAUGUCUAGAAUGCUGCCAAAUAUAGGUGAAAUGUUUAUGUUACAUAACAUAACUUGUAAGAUCUACUUGUGCAGAUAUAUAUUUUCACCUGCCUCUAAGGUCCUUUGUUAUUCACAGGUAGCAUUUACAUGUGAUGAAGCAGUAUUUAACAUUAUUGGUCAACAUGCAGUCCAUCAUUACAACCUUUGUACAGGCGCAUACAAACAUAUAUGUGUGGGGUAUUUCACACUUUUUAUUUGAUGUUAAAGAUUGGUAUGGUGACCGGGAUACUUUUUUUUAUUAAACCUCCUACACAGUUCUCUACUGUUUCCCUUAUCUGUUGCCUUAACAUUUUUUUCCGAUCAGUCCAAUUCCUUGAAUCACAUUGCAAAAAAAGUCACAAUACAUGGGAUUGGGCCACUCUCUUCAAAGAAUUGUAAUUCGAGUUUAAACAUAGCAAGGCUGACCAUAAAUUGUAGAGGAAAAUUUAAAAUGUUGAUCUUCAACAUAUUUAUAACCUAUGCUCAUGUGAUGUAUAUACAGCUAGUUAGAAAGUAAGUUGUAGUAUAGUAUGCAAUUGAACCUUCAAUAAGUUCUACAUCCACACUUAAAAACUUAUUUUACUUGAUGUUUUAUGUUCAAUAACUAUUCAGUAUAAAGGUUUUUUUUUACAUUAUAAACUACAAAAGUAUUCCGAUUUGUAAAUGUAAUGAAAUUCCACUGAGCCCUCUACCUUUUUUUUAACUACCAUUUCUGCCGUGUGGCCUUUUUUUUCUUACUUUUGUGUUCAUUAUAAGUUACAACCACUCAUUUGAUUUAUUGUGUUAAAUUAAAUGAUAUUUAAAAUUGGAUGUCACUUCAUAAGAACAUUCAGGAUUACCUGUAUUCACAGCGCACAAUUAUACAAAAGUUUUUUAUGUAUGUAAAAGUGUUUUACGUAAGCCAGUGGACACAUACAUGUAUUGAGUAACAUGAGAAAAUUGAAAUAUCUAAAAUAAAAUUAAAAGGUUACAAGCUUUUAUAUACAUGCAGCUCCCAAAAAAGUCUGCAUACUAAAAAAUAACACAUGCUUUUAAAUGAAUUCUUACCAUCUUAUAAACUAGUAGUAUUUUGUUAUUUGAUUUCAAAUGAAUUGUUUUUGGUUAAUUUAUUUGACUGUAGGGAUUAAAUAUCAUUUGUAGAAUAAAGUGUGAAAAGUAGUAUUGAUCAAUUUAACUGUAAGUACUAAAUAUGUGUUACAUUUCUUGUAAGUUAAAAUUGUUCAGGUAUUAUAAAUUAGCUGAAAAAAGCAAACUCAUGACUAGAAUAAAUUGUACUGUUAGGUAUGUUUCGAAGAAAGACUACCUGUUGCAGUCGUUACCAUGUGUAUGUACCACAUUUUUAUUGUCAUUAUAACUGCCAUAAUUUUGUACAAAUAAAUCACUUAAUACAUAAAAUAUGGUUAUGGAAAUUC